rnacentral:rRNA from 3 species
CUUUAUUGGAGAGUUUGAUCCUGGCUCAGGAUGAACGCUGGCGGCGUGCCUAAUACAUGCAAGUCGAGCGAAUGGAUUAAGAGCUUGCUCUUAUGAAGUUAGCGGCGGACGGGUGAGUAACACGUGGG